GACUUUCCAUUAUCAUGGGUUGGUAAAAGAACGCGAUAUGAAAUUGGUUGCAGUUCAUCCACCCCUUCCCUUCCUUCCCCUCUUCUGGGUCCUCAUUACUACCGCAAUGGCAACGCUUCUGCAACUCUUCAUCCUUCCUCAUUCAACAAGUCCGACUCCAACAGAAAGAAGAUGGAUUUGCUUCAAAACACACUUCACGUGAUAGAAAAUAUAAGGAAACUAAAACAAGAAACAUCAAAGACGAGGCAUAACCACUAUGAAAUGUUGAGGCUUACAAGUUCGAUGCUGAAACAAAUGGAAUUAGAAGUAAGUUCUUGCGUGAAACAAAAGAAGCUUAAUUUGAAUUCCAGUCCAGAAACGA